UCAGCUGACACAUCCCGUCCAAUAUGCAGCAGACCCUCCCACCUCCUGGACAGCAUCCAUAUUGAAGCCUCAAUAUGGAUGCUGUCCAGGAGGUGGAAGGGUCUGCUGCAUAUUGGCCGGGAUGUGUCAGCUGA